rnacentral:lncRNA from 1 species
GACACUUGCUUCUGGUGGAGAGAAGCCUGACGACUGAGCCGGGCUCCUUGCCUCUGCGGCUUCGAGGCAUCCAGUUCACUAAAUCAUGUGGAAAUAUAAUAGUAGUGACCCUUGGGAUUAUUCCUUGCUCCCAGCUAUGACCGUGUGCAUCACCACUGGGUUUCUGAAAGAGUGGAAAAUAGUAUUCAAGAGAGACACGGCAUGCUAUCCAGUGACAUUACUUCCUUCCUACCAGCACAAGUCUGUUUCCAAAUUUGAGAUCCUCCUUCAGAGUUGCAGAAGUCUCUGCAAAGUCAUAAAAUAUCUGUAGAAGUUUGUUUAGCAUAGACAAUAACAGAAGGCAGCCAAAAGGAUUACCUUCCCAUGCUGAAGCAGACAUUUUGAAUAAACUGAUGCCAGAAUAGUACA